rnacentral:tRNA from 1 species
GGGGACAUAGUUUAAUUGGAAAAACAACGGUUUUGCAUAUUGUUAAUUCAGGAUCGACACCUGAUGUCUCCA